UGGGGUAUAGCCAAAUUAGGUAAGGCUUUUGCUUUUGAUGCAAAGAUUUAAAGGUUCAAAUCCUUUUAUCCCAA
rnacentral:tRNA from 1 species